rnacentral:lncRNA from 1 species
AGUGAGGGUAAGAGAGAGAGACAGAGAGAGGUGAGGGUAAGAGAGAGAGAGACAGAGAGGUAGAUGGUAAGAGAGGGAGAGAGAGAGAGAGGUAGAGGUAAGAGAGAGAGAGGUAGAUAGUAAGAGAGGGAGAGAGAGAGAGAGAGAUGGAUAGAGAGAGAGAAGAGUUGGUUCAUCUACUUCUCCUUCCCCUCUGAUGUUUAAUCAUUGACUGACCUGAACUCUUCUUUCACUGGUUCAGGAACGGCUACGAGCAAUAAUAUCUCCUCAGAGAGAAAACACACAGUCUGUAUCCCGAAUGGUACACCUGGUACGGCUCCUGGUCAAACGGACAGGCACAUGAGAACAGUAUUCCUGUCGUCAUGACGAUUUAAAAUAAUCCCUCCUAAUCCCGGUUCUGUAAACGUUACCAGAUCAGAUUCCUCUCCCGGUCCCCCUCAUACUUGUCAGGGACACACAGGUACACCCUCAUACUGGUCAAGGACACACAGGUACACCCUCAUACUGGUCAGGGACACACAGGUACACCCCCAUACUGGUCAGGGACACACAGGUACACCCUCAUACUGGUCAAGGACACACAGGUACACCCUCAUACUGGUCAAGGACACACAGGUACACCCUCAUACUGGUCAAGGACACACAGGUACACCCUCAUACUGGUCAAGGACACACAGGUACACCCUCAUACUGGUCAGGGACACACAGGUACACCCUCAUACUGGUCAGGGACACACAGGUACACCCUCAUACUGGUCAAGGACACACAGGUACACCCUCAUACUGGUCAAGGACACACAGGUACACCCCCAUACUGGUCAGGGACACACAGGUAC